CAUGUGUAGCGGUGAAAUGCGUAGAUAUAUGGAGGAACACCAGUGGCGAAGGCGGCUCUCUGGUCUGUAACUGACGCUGAGGCUCGAAAGCGUGGGGAGCGAACAGGAUUAGAUACCCUGGUAGUCCACGCCGUAAACGAUGAGUGCUAAGUGUUGGAGGGUUUCCGCCCUUCAGUGCUGCAGCAAACGCAUUAAGCACUCCGCCUGGGGAGUACGACCGCAAGGUUGAAACUCAAAGGAAUUGACGGGGGCCCGCACAAGCGGUGGAGCAUGUGGUUUAAUUCGAAGCAACGCGAAGAACCUUACCAGGUCUUGACAUCCUUUGACCACUCUAGAGAUAGAGCUUCCCCUUCGGGGGCAAAGUGACAGGUGGUGCAUGGUUGUCGUCAGCUCGUGUCGUGAGAUGUUGGGUUAAGUCCCGCAACGAGCGCAACCCUUAUUGUUAGUUGCCAUCAUUUAGUUGGGCACUCUAGCGAGACUGCCGGUGACAAACCGGAGGAAGGUGGGGAUGACGUCAAAUCAUCAUGCCCCUUAUGACCUGGGCUACACACGUGCUACAAUGGGAAGUACAACGAGUUGCGAAGUCGCGAGGCUAAGCUAAUCUCUUAAAGCUUCUCUCAGUUCGGAUUGUAGGCUGCAACUCGCCUACAUGAAGCCGGAAUCGCUAGUAAUCGCGGAUCAGCACGCCGCGGUGAAUACGUUCCCGGGCCUUGUACACACCGCCCGUCACACCACGAGAGUUUGUAACACCCGAAGUCGGUGAGGUAACCUUUUUGAGCCAGCCGCCUA
rnacentral:rRNA from 1 species